UGGCCGGGAAGAUUAACGGACCACCGCCGGAAUCCAUCUCCAGACGAGGCUCGUACCAGGAUUGAGGGGCUAUCAAGGCCUACGCACCAUCAAAGCCUAAGAACAUUUCGCGGGGAACAACUCACGCACGGUCUGUGAAGAAGUUUGGCCGAGACCUCAACCCAAAGGCAGAGAUCCGAGGGUCAUCCGAGAACGGUGAGCGAACUUCCGGCGUUCUUAAAUCCUCCGAUAGUCAAGAAAAAAAUUAUAAAAAGAAUA